rnacentral:rRNA from 1 species
AGCAGUCGCGCGGUAAUACGUAGGUGGCAAGCGUUGUCCGGAACUAUUGGGCGUAAAGGGUGCGUAGGCGGUUCCUUAAGUCUGAUGUGAAAGCCCCCGGCUCAACCGGGGAGGGUCAUUGGAAACUGGGAAACUUGAGUGCAGAAGAGGAGAGUGGAAUUCCACGUGUAGCGGUGAAAUGCGUAGAGAUGUGGAGGGACACCAGUGGCGAAGGCGACUCUCUGGUCUGUAACUGACGCUGAGGAGCGAAAGCUAGGGGAGCAAAUGGGAUUAGAUACCCCAGUAGUCCCUGUCUCUUAUACC